UAAGGCAGCAACGUCGGACGCGAAAAGCAGCACACAUUUUUUUCCGCAAAAACAAGGUCGCCGGAAAGUCGCCGGAAAGACGCCGGAGCGAGCUCGACGGCGACAUUCCGACGGACGUCCCAACCGAAGCACCAAGGCCGAGCAGCAAAGGCCGGGGCUCCCACCACCCGACCUAGGCACCUCUCAUCCCUUACCCCCUAAAGAGGUCUUAGAACAAUUCUUGGCCUAGCAGCAAUAGACACCCCCAAUACUUGAGCUGACCCCACCCCCAAAAAAAAAAAAAUAUAUUGAAUUUUGGUCUGAUUUUUUGCAUCAUGGUCAAGAAAAAUAUGAAGUAUUUUUCAAGAGAAAGAGAAAAAAAAUUGGAGUGGCAAAAGAGGUAUUUUUAGCCGCAUCGUCACGUGGGCAUUGGCAGGCCAUUUCCCGCCCAGCUAACCUCCCUUCGUGCGAGAAAUGACCAGCGGAAGCGCGCAGCAAGCGCGCCCGCGUGCGGAAAAAUCGCGCAGCACCCGCGCGCGCCGCGCGGCUACUUCACGCGGCACCGCGCGCAGCAAGCGCGCCCGCGCGCGGCACCAUCGCGGGCAGCAAGCGCGCCCAGCGCGCGGCACCAUCGCGCGCAGCAAGCGCGGCAGCGCGCGCACCAUCGCAGCAAGCGCCAGCGCGCGGCACCAUCGCGCGCAGCAAGCGCGCCAGCGCGCGGCACCAUCGCGCGCAGCAAGCGCGCCAGCGCGCGGCACCAUCGCGCGCAGUUAGCGAGAUUGCGCGCGGCUCCUUCACGCGGCACCAUCGCGCACAGCAAGCGCGCCAGCGCGCGGCACCAUCGCGCGCAGCAAGCGCACCAGCGCGCGGCACCAUCGCGCGCAGUUAGCGAGAUUGCGCGGGGCUCCAUCGCGCGCAGCAAUCGCGCCAGCGCGCGGCACCAUCGCGCGGCACCAUCGCGCAGUUAGCGAGAUUGCGCGCGGCUCCUUCACGCGGCACCAUCGCGCGCAGCAAACGCGCCAGCGCGCGGCACCAUCGCGCGCAGCAAGCGCGCCAGCGCGCGGCACCAUCGCGAGCAGUUAGCGAGAUUGCGCGCGGCACCAUCGCGCGCAGCGAGCGCCCCAGCGCGCGGCACCAUCGCGCGCAGCCAGCGCGAUCGCGCGCGGCACCAUCGCGCUUAGCAAGCGCCCCAGCGCGCGGCACCAUCCCGCGCAGCCGGCGCGAUCGCUCGCGGCACCAUCUCACGCAACCAUCGCGCGCAGUUAGCGAGAUUGCGCGCGCCACCAUCGCGCGCACCAUCGCGGCACCAUCGCGCGCAGCAAGCGCCCCAGCGCGCGGCACCAUCGCGCGCAGCAAGCGCACCAGCGCGCGGCACCAUCGCGCGAAGUUAGCGAGAUUGCGCGUGGCACCAUCGCGCGCAGCGAGCGCCCCAGCGCGCGGCACCAUCGCGCGCAGCCAGUGCGAUCGCGCGCGGCACCAUCUCCCGCAGCCAGCGCGAUAGCGAGGGGCACCAUCGCGCGCAGCAAGCGCGCCAGCGCGCGGCACCAUCGCGCGCAGUUAGCGAGAUUGCGCGCGGCUCCUUCACGGGCACCAUCGCGCGCAGCAAGCGCGCCGCGCGCGGCACCAUCGCGCAGCAAGCGCGCCAGCGCGCGGCACCAUCGCGAGCAGUUAGCGAGAUUGCGCGCGGCACCAUCGCGCGCAGCGAGCGCCCCAGCGCGCGGCACCAUCGCCGCAGCCAGCUCCCCAGCGCGCGGCACCAUCGCGCGCAGCAAGCUCCCCAGCGCGCGCACCAUCGCGCGCAGCAAGCUCCCCAGCGCGCGGCACCAUCGCGCGCAGCAAGCUCCCCAGCGCGCGCACCAUCGCGCGCAGCAAGCGCACCAGCGCACCAUCGCGCGCGGCAGCAACUCUCGUGCGGCAAGGCAGCCAACGAUCUUGCGCGAGGAUGCGCACGCUGGCGCGCGAGGUUGCCCACACUCGCGCGGCAAGGCAGCCAACUCUGGCGCGGCAAGGCUGCCCACGCUCGAGCGGCAAGGCUGCGCACUGUGGCGCGAGGCUGCGCACGCUGGCGCCCGAGGCUGCCCAAGAUGGCGCGCGUUACCAACGCUCGCACGGCAAGCAAGCCCACGCUCGCGCGCCAGGCUGCGCACGCUCGCGCGGCAAGGAUGCGCACGCUGGCGCGCGAGGUUGCCCACUCUCGCGCGGCAAGGCAGCCAACUCUCGCGCGGCAAGGCUGCCCACGCUCGAGCGGCAAGGCUGCGCACUCUGGCGCGCGAGGCUGCGCACGCUCGCGCGGCAAGCAAGCCGACGCUCGCGCGCCAGGCUGCGCACGCUCGCGCGGCAAGGAAGCCAACGAUCGCGCGCGAGGCUGCGCACGCUGGCGCGCGAGGCUGCCCACCCUCGCACGGCAAGGCAGCCAACGCUGGCGCGCGAGGCUGCCCACGCUCGCGCGGCAAGGAAGCCAACUCUUGCGCGCGAGGCUGCCCAUUUCCGAGUAAGGCAUGCUUCACCCACUCGCGAGGAA
rnacentral:lncRNA from 1 species